CAGCAAGGUUGUCAGAGGCCAGGCAGGUAACACACACAGCAACGUUGUCAGAGGCCAGGCAGGUAACACACACAGCAAGGUAGUCAGAGGCCAGACAGGUAACACACACAGCAAGGUAGUCAGAGGCCAGACAGGUAACACACACAGCAAGGUAGUCAGAGGCCAGACAGGU